CCUACGGGGGGCAGCAGUGAGGAAUAUUGGUCAAUGGACGAGAGUCUGAACCAGCCAAGUAGCGUGAAGGAUGACUGCCCUAUGGGUUGUAAACUUCUUUUAUAUGGGAAUAAAACGUUCCACGUGUGGGAUUUUGUAUGUACCAUAUGAAUAAGGAUCGGCUAACUCCGUGCCAGCAGCCGCGGUAAUACGGAGGAUCCGAGCGUUAUCCGGAUUUAUUGGGUUUAACGGGAGCGUAGGUGGUUUGUUAAGUCAGUUGUGAAAGUUUGCGGCUCAACCGUAAAAUUGCAGUUGAAACUGGCAGUCUUGAGUACAGUAGAGGUGGGCGGAAUUCGUGGUGUAGCGGUGAAAUGCUUAGAUAUCACGAAGAACUCCGAUUGCGAAGGCAGUUCACUGGACUGCAACUGACACUGAGGCUCGAAAGUGUGGGUAUCAAACAGGAUUAGAUACCCGAGUAGUC
rnacentral:rRNA from 1 species